rnacentral:rRNA from 1 species
GACGAACGCUGGCGGCGUGCCUAAUACAUGCAAGUCGAACGCAGUGGGGACGGGUGAGUCACACGUGGGUAACCUCCCAUCAGAGGGGAUAACACUUGGAAACAGGUGCUAAACCGAUACUGAUGGAUGGACCCGCGGUGCAUUAGCUAGUUGGUGCGGUAACGGCUCACCAAGGCCACGCUGCAUAGCCGACCUGAGAGGGUGAUCGGCCACACUGGAACUGAGACACGGCCCAGACUCCACCGUGAGGCAGCAGUAGGGAAUCUUCGGCAAUGGACGAAAGUCUGACCGAGCAACGCCGCUUGAGUUAAGAAGGUUUUCGGAUCGUAAAACUCUGUUGUUAGAGAAGCGGUAUCUAACCAGAAAGCCACGGCUAACUACGUGCCAGCAGCCGCGGUAAUAC